rnacentral:lncRNA from 1 species
GUUUGCAGAGCUCCGGGUUCCAGGAGCGCGGCCGAGGAGCUGCUGAUUUGGAUUGAGCGCUCUUUGUUUUCCUCCCAUGGAAUGGAGAAAAUAACUGCUGUUCUCCCCAGUGUUCAGAGCCCUCUUUCAAGAGGAAACCAGAUGAUACUCAGGGUAUUGUUUUAUAUUUCUAAAGAGUAUUUUAACGAUAUUUUUAGUGGAGAUGCACACAAUACCUUUUUCUUCUUUGUUUAUUUUUAUGUGUUGCCUGUGGGGAUGGAACCCAGGCCUCGCGCUCGCUAGGGAAGAGCUCUACCGCGAGCCACAGCCCUGGCCCUGAAGAGUGCAUUUUUAAUGUCACUAAACAUGUGCGAAACUUUAUGUCCUUAAAAAAGAAGGGAUUGAUUAAUGAGACUCUGACACCUGCUGAGACCUCGGUGAGCCUUGAGAAGGUUAUGCUAAGCGGAAUGAGCCAGGCAGAAAAGGACAGAGGGUGCCUGAUUCCCUUAGUAGGGUGCCCGGCCUAAAGUGUACGACAGAGGCUGGGUGUAGCUCGGGACAGAGCCUUGCCUGACCCGUGGGGGCCCUGGGUUAUCCCCAGCACCCAGUGUCCGCAGGGUCUGGAGGGAGAGGAGAAAGGGGAGUCAUUGUCAAUGGGUACAGAGUUCCAGUCUAGGAAGUUGAAAAGUCACAGAGAUGGAUGGUGGGGAUGGUUGCACACCAUGGGAAUGGACUUCAGGUCGUGCACCUGUACAUUUACAGGUAAAUUUUUGUGCAUAUUUAACUACGAUUACAUUUUUUAAAAAAUUACAUGUGUUUCCAUAUUUUCAUUUUUUUUUCCUCAGAAAAGGUCCCUUAGAAGGAAGGCAGGCAAAGUGCAGCAUGCAUGUGAUCCUGGCGCUGUAAUCCCAGGUUUGAGGCCAGCCUUGGCAACUUAGUGAGACCCUGUCCCAAAAAAUGAAAAGAAAGUGGGGCUGGGGAUGUGGCUCAAGCGGUAGCGGGCUUGCCUGGCAUGCGUGGGGCGCUGGGUUCGAGCCUCAGCACCACAUAGAAAUAAAAAAAAAAUAAAGAUGUUGUUCCAACGAGAACUAGAACAUAAAUAUUAAAAAAAAAAAAAAAAGUUGCUCAGUGGUAAAGUGCCCCUGGAUUCAAUCCCUGGUGCCAAAAAAAAAAAAAAAAUGUCCCCUAGGACUGGCUCAGUGGUAGAGCCCUUGCCUAGCACAUACUCUAGCCCUGGGGUUUGAUCCCCACCAUGGAAAGUUUAAAACAAAAAGCCCAGGGGCUGGGGUUGUGGCUCAGCCUUAGAGCACUCACCUAGCACAUGUGAGGCCCUGGGUUCAAUCCUCAGCACCACAGAAAAAUAAAUAAAUAACAUAAAGGUGUUAUGUCCAACUACAAAUUAAAAAUUUAAAAAAAGCCCAAAGUUUAUUUUGGUUUUUCAUGGCUUUCCAGAGACUCUACAUCUCUGCCCAUUAAGGCCUAAUGUAUUCUAGGUGCUCACAAUUCCCUAGGCUACGGCAGAGACUGAGUGUAGAGAAACACUCCUGAAGGACAGAAAAAGGGGAUCCCUAGAGCUAUGGGGGCACAGAGUGCUCAUAUUCAUCUCAGAAAUACAGGAGGACAAGGCCCUGGAAUGGCUAUGGGAGGCUGGUGAUGGGAAGGUGCCCCAGUUGAGACCCCCGUUGAGACCCCGUCUUUUUAAGUCUUGUGCACUUGUUAUUGUUGACUGAUUCCCUGCUCCCUUCUCUCUGGUGAUUAAAGGUCAAACUCUCCUGAGAGGCUGGGGACUUAUUUUGAAAGUCAUCAGCAAGGAAGGGGAUAGCUAGGAAAACUGCACCCUGCUUCCCAGCCAGCCCUUGGGAAGAGGCAUCCAUCCCAGAGGACACACCAGUGACAGUGUUGAGGAGGAAAGGGGAAAAGUCCAAGUCCCUGAGGCCUGACUGGAAAGAGAGAGCAGGAGCUGGCCUGGCCCUGGAGCUUGGUGGACCUGUGUGUGGACAAGGAAUCUCCAGAAAAUAGAUGAAACAGAAAACCUGCAACACGAAGUGAGUUAGAAUUCCAGAUAAACGAGAAAUGACAUUCUAGCGAAAGUAUUUUAUCAGGUGAUCCUACUUCAAAAGCCGGGUCUCUGAGGGAACCACUGCUUUCUUCUUUCACUCCUUAUCACCUGGAGUGAGCUGUCUGCUCUCCCUCCUGUUGCAACAGCUGCUGUCUGGCCUUCUGGCCUCUGGUCUCUCCCUCCUGGAGCUUGUUGGCACUCUAAAGUGUCCGUCAAUGCCAUGAUACCUUGCUGCGGCUGAAAGGAGUUUUAGAAACCAUCUCUUGUUGGUUCCUUGGAUGCUUGUGAAGGUAGACUUCAAAGGUGGGUUGCCAGAUUUAGAAAACAGAUCAAACAAAAUACCUGGGGAACCAAUGAAUUUCAGUUGCUGAUAAACAGUAAGUAACUUUUUAGUGAAGUAUUUUAUCGGGUAAUCCUACUUCCAAAACUGGGUCUCUGGGGAAAACGGCUGGGCCUUCUUCUUGUGCUCUCCUUUUUUACUCCUUAUCACCGUGGAUUAAACAUUCUCUCUCAUGAACCUGCUGCGAUAGUUCCUGCCUGAUCUUCUGGCCUCUACUUUCUCCCCUCCUGGUCCAUUUGGACUCUAAAAUACAGCCAGAUGACACAAGACAUAAUACUAUGCUCAGGGCAAAUUAAUGCCAAAAAAGAUUUUAUACUCCAUCCCUUGUUGGUUCCUUGGAUGUUUGUGUGGGAGACAGGGCAAGGCUUUCAUAGACGACCUGAGGUCUGACAGUAGGCUGGAGGCCCGAGCUAGUUCAGUUGUUCAUUCUCCAAGCACUUAUCAAAGUCCAGGCAUCAUGGCUCCCUGAGGGAUGCAGCACAAAAGCCCUCUUCUCCCUGCUGGUUCUUGUGUGAUAGAAGCAAAGGUGACUCCAUUUUGUUUUAUGACUCCAUCCUGUAAAACAACCAGGCCAAGUAGAAGGGUCUUGACUGGGGCAAGAUAUUCUUUUCCUUUUGCUACAGAAACC